AACGAACGCUGGCGUCAGGCCUAACACAUGCAAGUCGAGCUAUGCCUGCGAGUCUUGUGGCGCACGGGUGCGUAACGCGGUGCAGUCUUCCCUUGGGUUCGGGUGAACCGUGAGGAAUUACUCCUAAUACGGGAUGAGGUCUUCGGGCCAAAGAUUGAUCGCGCCAGGAUGAGCCUGCGUAGGCUCAGAUAGUUAGUUGCGUAAUGGGCUGCCAAGGCGUCGGUCACUAGCUGGUCUGAGAGGAGGAGCGUCGACGCUGGUAAUGGGACACGGCCCAGAAUCCUACGGGAGGCAGCAGAGGGGAAUCUUGGCCAGUCGGCGCAAGCCUGAUCCAGCCCUGCGGCGUGAGUGAUGAAGGCUGUAGGGUUGUAAAGCUCUUUUACCCGGUAUGAUAAUGACAGUACCGGGAGAAUAAGCACCGGCUAACUCCGUG
rnacentral:rRNA from 1 species